UUCCUGCUAUUUCCAGCAAAGCGCCGCUGGGUGGGGACAAGAGAGAUACAGAGAGCCUGCUUGCUUUAAAGGAGCCAACCGUACAGGAGCCGCUUACACUCGUGUAAGCGGCUCCUCUCCCCUCCCGCUUUGCUCCUUUAAAGAAGCAGGCACUCUGUCCCUCUCUCCUCCCCACUCAGCGGCUCUUCUCCCGCUGGAAACCACGGAGGA
rnacentral:miRNA from 1 species